rnacentral:rRNA from 1 species
ACGACGCUGGCGGCGUGCUUAACACAUGCAAGUCGAGCGAUGAAGCACCUUCGGGUGUGAAUUAGCGGCGAACGGGUGAGGAACACGUGAGAAAUCUGCCUUCAACUCUGGGAUAACUCCGUGAAAACGGGGCUAAUACCGGAUAUGAGCCUUGAUCGCAUGAUCGAGGCUGGAAAGUUUUUCGGUUGAAGAUGAUCUCGCGGCCUAUCAGCUUGUUGGUGAGGUAAUGGCUCACCCAAGGCGACGACGGGUAGCCGGCCUGAGAGGGCGACCGGCCACACUGGGACUGAGACACGGCCCAGACUCCUACGGGAGGCAGCAGUGGGGAAUAUUGGGCAAUGGAGGAAACUCUGACCCAGCGACGCCGCGUGAGGGAUGAAGGCCUUCGGGUUGUAAACCUCUUUCAGUAGGGAAGAAGCGAAAGUGACGGUACCUACAGAAGAAGCACCGGCUAACUAUGUG